GAUGAACGCUGGCGGCGUGCCUAAUACAUGCAAGUCGAGCGAAUGGAUUGAGAGCUUGCUCGUAUGAAGUUAGCGGCGGACGGGUGAGUAACACGUGGGUAACCUGCCCAUAAGACUGGGAUAACUCCGGGAAACCGGGGCUAAUACCGGAUAACAUUUUGAACCGCAUGGUUCGAAAUUGAAAGGCGGCUUCGGCUGUCACUUAUGGAUGGACCCGCGUCGCAUUAGCUAGUUGGUGAGGUAACGGCUCACCAAGGCAACGAUGCGUAGCCGACCUGAGAGGGUGAUCGGCCACACUGGGACUGAGACACGGCCCAGACUCCUACGGGAGGAAGCAGUAGGGAAUCUUCCGCAAUGGACGAAAGUCUGACGGAGCAACGCCGCGUGAGUGAUGAAGGCUUUCGGGUCGUAAAACUCUGUUGUUAGGGAAGAACAAGUGCUAGUUGAAUAAGCUGGCACCUUGACGGUACCUAACCAGAAAGCCACGGCUAACUACGUGCCAGCCGCCGCAGUAA
rnacentral:rRNA from 1 species